rnacentral:rRNA from 1 species
CGUGUGCAGCGGUGCCCUUCCAUCCUUCUGUUAACGUUUCUGAUAUUCAUUUAUUGGUCUCGGGCUCAGAUAUUUUACCUUGAGAAAAUUAGAGUGUUCCAGGCAGGCUUGCGCCGGAAUACAUUAGCAUGGAAUAAUAGAAUAGGACUUUAGUCUCCUUUGUUGGUUUGAGGGACUGAAGUAAUGAUUAAUAGGGAUAGUUGGGGGCAUUAGUAUUUAAUUGUCAGAGGUGAAAUUCUCGGAUUUGUUAAAGACUAACUUAUGCGAAAGCAUUUGCCAAGGAUGUUUUCAUUAAUCAAGAACGAAAGUUAGGGGAUCAAAGACGAUCAGAUACCGUCGUAGUCUUAACCAUAAACUUUGCCGACCAGAGAUCAGGAGACGUUACAUGGAUGACUCCCCUGGCAUCUUGCGAGAAAUCACAAGUCUUUGGGUUCUGGGGGGAGUAUGGUCGCAAGGCUGAAACUUAAAGGAAUUGACGGAAGGGCACCACCAGGAGUGGAGCCUGCGGCUUAAUUUGACUCAACACGGGGAAACUCACCAGGUCCAGACACAGUGAGGAUUGACAGAUUGAUAGCUCUUUCUUGAUUCUGUGGGUGGUGGUGCAUGGCCGUUCUUAGUUGGUGGAGUGAUUUGUCUGCUUAAUUGCGAUAACGAACGAGACCUUAACCUGCUAAAUAGCCCUUAUUGCUUCGGCAGUAAGCUGGCUUCUUAGAGGGACUAUCG